GACGAACGCUGGCGGCGUGCUUAACACAUGCAAGUCGAACGGAAAGGCCCUGCUUUUGUUGGUUGCUCGAGUGGCGAACGGGUGAGUAACACGUGAGUAACCUGCCCUUGACUUUGGGAUAACUUCUGGAAACUGGGGCUAAUACCGGAUAUGAUCUCCUGCUGCAUGGUGGUGGUUGGAAAGUUUCGGCGGUUGUGGAUGGACUCGCGGCUUAUCAGCUUGUUGGUGGGGUAGUGGCUUACCAAGGCUUUGACGGGUAGCCGGCCUGAGAGGGUGACCGGCCACAUUGGGACUGAGAGACGGCCCAGACUCCUACGGGAGGCAGCAGUGGGGAAUAUUGCACAAUGGGCGGAAGCCUGAUGCAGCAACGCCGCGUGCGGGAUGACGGCCUUCGGGUUGUAAACCGAUGUCGCCUGUGACGAAGAGUGAGUGACGGUAAUGGGUAAAGAAGCACCGGCUAACUACGUG
rnacentral:rRNA from 1 species